CAGUCGCCGCGGUAAUACGUAGGGCGCAAGCGUUAUCCGGAAUUAUUGGGCGUAAAGAGCUCGUAGGCGGUUUGUCGCGUCUGCCGUGAAAGUCCGGGGCUCAACCCCGGAUCUGCGGUGGGUACGGGCAGACUAGAGUGAUGUAGGGGAGACUGGAAUUCCUGGUGUAGCGGUGAAGUGCGCAGAUAUCAGGAGGAACACCGAUGGCGAAGGCAGGUCUCUGGGCAUUAACUGACGCUGAGGAGCGAAAGCAUGGGGAGCGAACAGGAUUAGAGACCCCCGUAGUCCCUGUCUCUUAUAC
rnacentral:rRNA from 1 species